GUGCUUGCUUCAGCAGCACAUACACUAAAACUGGAAUGAUACAGAGAAGAUUAACAUUGCCCCUGCACAAGGAUGACACGCAUAUCCAUGAAGUGUUCCAUAUUUUU